rnacentral:sRNA from 1 species
CAACUGGCAGAAGGAGGCCAUGCGUCUGGAACGUCUGGAGCUGCAGCAAGGGGCUCCUGGCCAGGGAGGCGGUGGUGGCCUGAGCCACGAGGACACCCUGGCGCUGCUGGAGGGGCUAGUGAGCCGCCGUGAAGCUGCCCUGAAGGAGGAUUUCCGCAGGGAAACUGCUGCUCACAUCCAGGAAGAACUGUCUGCCCUGAGAGCAGAGCAUCAGCAAGACUCAGAAGACCUCUUCAAGAAGAUCGUCCGGGCCUCCCAGGAGUCUGAGGCUCGCAUCCAGCAGCUGAAGUCAGAGUGGCAAAGGUACUGGGCGCCACCAGCUGGCCUCGACCUGCUCCUCCCCAGCCCCACCCACUCUCCAGGCAGGACUGGGGAGCAGAGCCGCAGAGCAGAGAGUUCUGAUCCUCUUGCCAAGCAGAGGGUGGGGGGAGGGGUUGAAACCCAGCUCAGGAUCCCUGCCCAGGGCCUGUCUUUGAGGUGCCAUGGAGGUUAGCAGGGGGGUCCUGAGGGCGGGGGGCAGGCCCUGUGAGAGGACCAGGUUUCAUUUAUAGACACGGCGUCCUUUCUUACAGCCUCAUGUAGCUGCCUUCUCAUGCCCCAGAUGUCCAUGCUUGUGGAGGAUGUGAGAGGCUGAGGCAGAGUACAUUCUGGACUCUGGGCUUAGAAAGGGAGCAGGCUCAGAAUUAGCUCCUUGGGACAGGCAGGCCAGUUCCUGGGCACCUGCACUGUGUUCUGCAGCCAGAACCCCCAGGAGAGGCCUUGCCCCUUCUUAGGUUCACGAUGAGUGCUGGGCACCCGCUGUCAUGACAGGAGCCCACUAGGGGGUCCUCUUUCUUCUUUGGUGUGGCCUUACCUCCCACCCAAGAGAUCCGAGGCUUACUCUUCUCUCUCUGGGACCAGCAUGACGCAGGAGUCCUUCCGGGAGAGCUCUGUGAAGGAGCUGAGGCGGCUAGAGGACCAACUGGCCGGCCUGCAGCAGGAGCUGGCGGCUCUGGCACUGAAGCAGAGCUCGGUGGCGGAUGAAGUGGGCCUGCUGCCCCAGCAGUUCCAGGCGGUGCGGGACGACGUGGAAUCUCAGUUCCCAGCCUGGAUCAGUCAGUUCCUUGCCCGAGGCGGAGGGAGCCGCGUGGGGCUCCUUCAGAGAGAGGAGAUGCAAGCUCAGCUGCGAGAGCUGGAGAGCAAGAUCCUCACCCAUGUGGCAGAGAUGCAGGGCAAGUUGGCCAGGGAAGCCGCGGCUUCCCUGGGCCUGACGCUGCAGAAAGAAGGGGUGAUUGGAGUGACAGAGGAGCAGGUGCACCACAUCGUGAAGCAGGCCCUGCAGCGCUACAGUGAGGACCGCAUCGGGCUGGCAGACUACGCCCUGGAGUCAGGAGG